GACGAACGCUGGCGGCGUGCUUAACACAUGCAAGUCGAACGGCAAGGCCCUUCGUGGCACACGACUGGCGAACGGGUGAGUAACACGCGGGUGAUCUGCCCUGCACUUCGGGAUAAGCCUGCGAAACUGGGUCUAAUAUCGGAUCGGACACUGGGAUGCAUGGCCUGGGGUGGACAGCUUUUGCGGUGUGUGAUGGGCCCGCGGCCUAUCGGCUUGUUGGUGGGGUGAUGGACUACCAAGGGGAAGACGGGUAGCCGGCCUGAGAGGUUGACCGGCCACACUGGGACUGAGAUACGGCCCAGAGUCCUACGGGAGGCAGCAGUGGGGAAUAUUGCACAAUGGGCGCAAGCCUGAUGCAGCGACGCCGCGUGAGGGAUGACGGCCUUCGGGUUGUAAACCUCUUUCAGCACCGACGAAGCGCAAGUGACGGUAGGUGCAGAAGAAGGACCGGCCAACUACGUGCCAGCCGCCGCGGUAA
rnacentral:rRNA from 1 species